GCCCCGCGUAGCUCAGCGGUAGAGCGGCCGGCUGUAGACCGGCAGGCCCCCGGUUCGAAAGGGGGCGGGGCU
rnacentral:tRNA from 1 species